rnacentral:rRNA from 1 species
AUGGCCGCAGUAUUUUGACUGUGCAAAGGUAGCAUAAUUAUUAGUUUUUUAAUUGAAAGCUUGUAUGAAGGGUUGGACGAGAUAAAAUCUGUCUUUAUUUAAAUUAAAAUAGAAUUUAACUUUUAAGUCAAAAGGCUUAAAUGUUUAUAAAAGACGAGAAGACCCUAUAGAUCUUUAUUAAAUUUAAAUUUUGAUAAUUUAAGAUUAUUUUAAUUUGAAGUUUAAAUUUAAUUUUAUUGGGGUAAUAUAAAGAUUAAAUAAAUUCUUUUUAUUAAUUACAUUAAUUUAUGAAUAUAUGAUCCAUUAUUAUUGAUUAUAAGAUUAAGUUACCUUAGGGAUAACAGCGUAAUUUUUUUGGAGAGCUCAUAUCGAUAAAAAAGUUUGCGACCUCGAUGUUGGAUUAAAAAUUAGCUUGGGUGCAGAAGCUCAAGAUUUUGGUCUGUUCGACCAUUAAAUUUUUACAUGAUCUGAGUUCAGACCGGCGUAAGCCAGGUCGGUUUCUAUCUUUAUUUAAAUAAAAUAUUUUAGUACGAAAGGACCAAGUAUUUAAUAUAAUUAUAUUUAUUUUUUGAAUAAUAUU